rnacentral:tRNA from 1 species
GCGGGAAUAGCUCAGUGGUAGAGCACCACCUUGCCAAGGUGGGGGUCGCGGGUUCGAGUCCCGUUUCCCGCUCCA